rnacentral:rRNA from 1 species
UGCCAGCCGCCGCGGUAAUACGUAUGUUCCAAGCGUUAUCCGGAUUUAUUGGGCGUAAAGCGAGCGCAGACGGUUAUUUAAGUCUGAAGUGGAAGCCCUCAGCUCAACUGAGGAAUUGCUUUGGAAACUGGAUGACUUGAGUGCAGUAGAGGAAAGUGGAACUCCAUGUGUAGCGGUGAAAUGCGUAGAUAUAUGGAAGAACACCAGUGGCGAAGGCGGCUUUCUGGACUGUAACUGACGUUUAGGCUCGAAAGUGUGGGUAGCAAACAGGAUUAGAUA